UGAAUGUGUUGUGGAGAAUGUUCUCACAAGGAAUGAGAGAUCGAAUGUGUAUCGGAAAGCAAACUUUGGGUAAAUGACAACCACUGACAGAGACAGCAACAAACAUUACCCAAAAACGAGAACUCGAACCGAAUCCAUAGAAACCCAAACAGAAAAAUAUAUAGAGACAUUAUGUCCACCAUGUUGAGUCGCGGUGCAAAGCCUUUGCAGGCCCAAGUGGGUUUUAAACAUGCAUUUCCACCGGAGGGUUUCUUUCCACUGCCGCCGGCGGAGUCGCAUCUCUGCCGCGAUGCGUAUCUCAAGGCGCUGCUGGCUCCCUUUGAGAGUGUUUCCGACGAUGGAAGCGAAGAGCCGGAAGACGAUGGGCUGCCAAAAAAGGAUUUGUUCGCUACGAAAAAAUUCGACAUCGAGUUCAUGAUGAUCAGUAGACGACGCACCACAAUGUGGAAGCCCACGAAGUAUCGUCCGUCGGCCAUUAAUGUGAACUUGAGAGCCUCCGCCUACGAUCUAAGUGCACUGGUCAAGGCCCGCUACGUGAGGCUGUUGGAGGGAUUUGGCAUUUCCUGCAUCCACUAUCUGCUGGAGAAGAUCAUCAAGAAGAUGGAGAUCAUGCGCACCGUUCCACCCGAGGGCACCGAUCCAAAGAAAACCAUUUUCGGCUGGUCCUGUCAUGAGUAUUACGAACGUUUCAAGAAACAUAGCGAUACGAUUUACUUGGAUACCUUUUUGUUCGACAAAACCGCAGCGGAGCUGCAGGACCUCAAAUAUUAUGUCGAUCUGGAGGAGAUUGUCCGUCUAAUGAGAUCGUUGAAGAACGAUUUGACAGAGGAUAAUGAUUUGUGUCAGGGUUUUAUGGCUUUGUUGCGAGACAUUCAGGUUGAUAUCAUGGAGGUUCUGGCCAAGCCCUAUGAGGACAUGUACACCGAGCACGAUAAUCUCUCCACGCAAUUGUUUACGGCCAGACAGGGCAAGUCUCACGAUCCGAAAAUGAUUUCCAAACAUCGUGCACUGAAAAAGGAGCAACAGUACCUUAUGGAUUACAAAGCUCCCAUUGAGACACGCUAUCAGAUUAAUUGGAUCCGCGAUAAGUUGGAGCAGAAAGAUUUCGAAGAUGCAAGUCAAGUAAAGAUAAUCCAAGAUGAACUCGACAAACUGAAAGAGCUGACUGCCACGGAUACAGCAGUGUGGAAUGCUGCAAACCGUAAGUACUCGUCCCUGAUUGAAGAGUACACGAAUCGCAUAAAUUCUACGCAAGAGUCCUACGACGAGGACAUGGAGACUGCCGAAAAUAACGUACAGAUGACACUGAACAAGCUGAACAAGUGCAAGGACGAUCUGAGGAGCUAUCAGGAGCAGGUGGAAAUUUUUCAUAUGAAAAUCGCAGCGACGCGCGCAAAAAUAGCCAAAGAAGAGGCGCAAGAGCUGGAGAAACUAAGAAUACUGGAGGAAAAACAAGCGAGAAAAAGUGAACUAAAGGAAAAAGCCAAAGGCAAGGCCAAGAAAGAAAAGAAGAAAAAGUAAACAACAAUAAAGGAAAAGAUCUCGGAUAAGAUAUAGACAGAGCCAAAGCAGGGAUUGAAACGAAAAAGAGUUCUAGGCAACUUUGUUUGCAGCAGAGAAAAUGUUCCGUCAAAAAGUUCUAAAAGAUAAAAAAAUGCAGUUAAUAUUUGGAAAGAUCUCUCAAGC